rnacentral:rRNA from 1 species
UACGUAGGCGGCUUACUAAGUCAGAUGUGAAAGCCCCGGGCUUAACCUGGGAACUGCAUUUGAUACUGGUAGGCUAGAGUAUGGUAGAGGGGGGUAGAAUUCAUAGUGUAGCGGUGAAAUGCGUAGAUAUUAUGAGGAAUACCAGUGGCGAAGGCGGCCCCCUGGACCAAUACUGACGCUGAGGUACGAAAGCGUGGGUAGCGAACA